GACGAACGCUGGCGGCGUGCUUAACACAUGCAAGUCGAACGGAAAGGCCCUGCUUUUGUGGGGUGCUCGAGUGGCGAACGGGUGAGUAACACGUGAGUAACCUGCCCUUGACUUUGGGAUAACUUCAGGAAACUGGGGCUAAUACCGGAUAGGAGCUCCUGCUGCAUGGUGGGGGUUGGAAAGUUUCGGCGGUUGGGGAUGGACUCGCGGCUUAUCAGCUUGUUGGUGGGGUAGUGGCUUACCAAGGCUUUGACGGGUAGCCGGCCUGAGAGGGUGACCGGCCACAUUGGGACUGAGGUACGGCCCAGACGCCUACGGUAGGCAGCAGUGGGGAAUAUGGCACAAUGGGCGGAAGCCUGAUGCAGCAACGCCGCGUGCGGGAUGACGGCCUUCGGGUUGUAAACCGCUUUCGCCUGUGACGAAGCGUGAGUGACGGUAAUGGGUAAAGAAGCACCGGCUAACUACGUG
rnacentral:rRNA from 1 species